GACGAACCGUGCGAACGUUGUUCGGAAUCACUGGGCUUAAAGGGCGCGUAGGCGGGCUCACAAGUCAGGGGUGAAAUCCCACGGCUCAACCGUGGAAGUGCCUUGGAUACUGGCGGCCUGGAGGGAGGCAGGGGCGGAUGGAACUUCCGGUGGAGCGGUGAAAUGCGUUGAUAUCAGGAAGAACCCCCGUGGCUAAGGCGGCUCUCUAGUACGGUACUGACGCUGAGACGCGAAAGCGUGGGGAGCGAACAGG
rnacentral:rRNA from 1 species